rnacentral:lncRNA from 1 species
UUGCUCGAGAAAGCUGAAGCAGAUAGAAUUGCAGCUAUAAAAAAUGCCGAGGCAAACCAACAUGUGCAGGAAAAAACAUCCGCUUCCACUGCCCAAGUUGAAGUGAGAUGAUUCAACAUAGCAUUGACAGAAAUAAAAUCAGAAUUUACAUGUAACGUCUCAUCCCUCUCUUCUUACCCUUUUUAUUUUUGCUUUUCUUUUCGUGGGCCUUUUUUUGCUAAGUUGGUAAAAAUUGAUAUGAUUUUGGCAAUGCCGAGGACGGAGAACCCGUGUUGGCUAAUCUGGAUACAUGGGCAACUUUUGGUAGGUGUCAUAUAAUUCAUGGUUGCCUUUCAAUAAAGCCGUUUUGUUGCUUCACAUGUACAGAUGAACAAAUGAAUUCUAGUUCAUCUUUGGAAGGACGAACUAUGCCUAGAGUUCAUUUUAUACAUCGAUUGCUACAAUUUUCGGUUGCACCUCCAAUUUAUCGUGCCCACGGUAAACGCUGGGUAGCCAAGUGAAAGUGAAAUUGAUGAUGGUCCAUCUUUGUCUGAUGUUUGAUUAGUCAAAUGAACAUGCUUUCGCCUAUGUUCACGGGUCUUUUACCUUGGUUGUGCUUUAGUAUUUUUCAUCCACCUCUCCCCUUUUCGAAAAGUUUGUAUUGCUUAGCCUAGUCUCAGUUUGAUUAUGGAUGAGAUUGAAAUUGGUCUUGUGAAUUGGAAGGUGAAACUUCUUUUUAGUUUUCUUUUUUUUUAUGUGCAAUUCAUUUUGUUGAAUUCUUUGAUAUGACCCUAAUUAUUCAUUCUGGAAGGGCCAUAAUUUCGGAAUCCCGAAAAAUUAUAUUCCCAUUUUGGUCUAGGUUUUUUUGGAGAUUUUUUAUUGCUUUGAUUUUCUAGUAUUUCCGUCUUUUAGUGAUUUUUUUCACUGAUCAAAAUUUCGUACUUUUUCGGUUCCUCUAAACGAAAAGUUUGAAACUUUAAAAACUUUAAUCAAGUUUAAAAAAAAGUUCACACACAAAAAAUAUCAAUUUUACUUGACAAAUUAGCUAAAUUUUGUCUUUAGUGGAAAAAAUUUUCAAAUUUGAAUAUAAUUUUAAUAUUUUCAAAUUCCUCUCGUUAAGAAAAAUCAAAAAAUUAUAAAAUUUUAAUAAAAAAUUAUAAAAAAAAAUAACUAAAGGCAAAAAAAAUCAAAAAUCAAAAAUCAAAAUAGAUAAAACAUCUAAAAAAAUUACUUCAUAGCUUGGGUAUGUGUUUUCCCCUUUUUGCCAACCCAUAUAGACUUUUAUUGCCCCAUAUAGACUUUUAUUGCUUCAAACUUAUUGCUUCAAACAGAUAAAACAUCUAAAAGAAUCCUUAAUUUUAUUGCUUCAAUUCAACUGUUGGAACUUAGACUUUUGGAUGUGUUAAGGCAUUCCCCUUUUUUAGGUUUCAAGUGAUGUCAUUUCCAAAUUUGUUAGGUCCAUAAAUAACUGUCGGUUCAAUGACAUCGAGAAGAAGUUGAGAGACUUUAUUUGGUGAGGAUUUGUACUCAAGAGAUUAGUGGUUAUGUAAGAAAAAGAUUAAGAGAGAGAGAGAGAGAGAAAAAAGGAAAGUUUAGCUGGGUUUCUUGGGCAUAUCCUUUUGCUGGAUUGACUAGAUUUGCACAUGGAAAAGAUUAACAAGUGUCCAAAGAGCUAGUUGCCCAUCAUUAGGAUUAGUGAUAAUAUGAAAGAAACAUGUAUCACACACUUCACAAUAGCUUCUUCUUCUUUUAUUUUAUUUUUUAUAGAAAUAAUGUCCACGGGUAGCAAGAAAAAGCAAUAUGAUUAUUGAUAGUGACGGCAGGAGAGGAUAGAUCGAAGUUAACAUUAAAUGUCAUAGUAAAAAAUAAUAUGAUUGGAUUGAAUUUCAGUGAACAUUUGGCUUUUGAUAGAAUUCAAUGGCGAAAAAAAUUCAUAUAGCCGAUCCUAAUUGAUUGGGACAAAGACUUGCUUUGGUUUAGUUUGGUUUAAAAAUAAUGUAAAAAAAUUCAUAUAGCCGAUCCUAAUUGAUUGGAACAAAGACCUGCUUUGGUUUAGUUUGGUUUAAAAAUAAUGUACACCAAAAGAUAAAAUAUGGUUAAAACAAGUUCGAAUCAUUACUUAGGAGCUAUUUAUAAAUAUGAUGAGAAUUACAAUAAGGCCUUGUUGGGGAUAGAUCUUUUUGAGUGUAUAGAGCUACUUUGAUUUUUGAGUUUUUUUUUUAUUAUUUGAUAAAAAAAAUAUUUUUACUUGAAAAAAUACGUAAAAAUGGUUUAGUUUUGUUUUUUGAACUUUUUUAAAAUUAGAUAAGAAAUUUUAUAUUUUUAUAUUCCUCUCGCCAAAAGAAACCGAAAAAGUAGAAUAUUUUGAUCAAACAGCUAAAAAAACUUUGUCAAAAGACAAAAAAACUCAAAAAUCUAAGCAGUUAUAUAAAUUCAAAUAGGGGCUAAAUCAGAUACUAUUUAGUAACAAAAAUGUCUUCUGAACUAUUUCUAUAUUAAAACAAAGCAUACAAUUUAGAGCUAUUUCCAUUUUCUAUUUAAUUGGAUUAAGCAUUGUUUUCUUAUUUAUUUGAGUAUAUGAAAGUAUAAUUGAAGCCCUGUGUUGAGCCUCUCUCUCUCUCUCUCUCUCUAAAUUGUCUCUGUAAUUAUCGUGUUCAUUGGAUUGUAUAUACUUAUAGGUGGUAUUGAUAGACUCUCUCUCUCUCUCUCUCUUAUUGUAUUUGUAAUUGUUGUGUUCGUUGUAUAUAUGCUUGUAGCUGGUAUUUAUUGACAUUUUUACCUUACUAAAUAUCUGAUUUACUGUAAUUCUUAUCAGAUUUAGAAAUUACCUCUUUACCAAAUGUGAAAAAAAAAAAUAUAUCCGAGGACCGAGA